rnacentral:lncRNA from 1 species
UAUCCAAUCUGAAUUUUCUCUUUCGAAAUUCACUAUUUAGUUCUUCGGUAGGGAGUAAAAAGAGAAAUGACGGUUUGGGAGGAAGCUAUUUAAAUUCAGCAUACCAUUUUUCAUCCUAGGCAUAUUUAUCUAUAGAUUUUUAUUCAGGUCUUGAGUAUAUGUGACAGUCAUUGAUUGAUCGACUUCUAACUGAUUUUGUUGUUUGCUUACAUUUUAUUCAUCAGCCUAAUCUUUACCUUUUUUUUUUUUUCAAGAAUAUUGGCUUGCAUUAUAUAUUUAAGUUAGCUUAUGAGGUUUAUGAGUGCAUUUAGCUCAUUAGUUUACAUAUACUCGUCUUUUUCAAGGUUUUCUCUUGAAUAUUUCAUAAAUAACACUCAAUAAUGUUUGAAAUUGAUUGGAAUAAUGGACCUAAGAUUUCAAUUGCUAGUAAAGGACAACAUAUUCCCUUGUCAGUUAAUUUUGUUUGUGUGUGAGAAAUUUCUAGGAAGCUUCAUCAUCGUACAAAUGUGUACGUAACAAAUUGUCCUGUCAACUUUGUGCAUGGAGGAGUUACUACAAGAUAGAGAUGGUUUUUUGAACGGGAAAUUUGGGUCUACGAAUUUAGGUAACAAAGAUGUAGUUUUUUAUCAAUUUGCAAAUUAGGGAUGGCAAAAUGUACUUGUCAUGUUGGGAAUUGAGCAAGUAAAUGAAUGAGAAAUAAGAAUUUUUAACCUCGAC